UACGUAGGGUGCGAGCGUUUAAUCGGAAUUACUGGGCGUAAAGCGUGCGCAGGCGGUAAGUUAAGUCUGAUGUGAAAGCCCCGGGCUCAACCUGGGAAUGGCAUUGGAAACUGGCUUGCUGGAGUGUGGCAGAGGGGGGUGGAAUUCCGCGUGUAGCAGUGAAAUGCGUAGAGAUGCGGAGGAACACCGAUGGCGAAGGCAGCCCCCUGGGCCAACACUGACGCUCAGGCACGAAAGCGUGGGGAGCAAACAGG
rnacentral:rRNA from 1 species